rnacentral:rRNA from 1 species
AUGAACCCCGUCGAUGCGUCGUUGAUGAUCCAAUUUACACAAUUUACAAUUGUGAAGAAUUUUUUCGAUCUGAACGACGUAUUUCCGGAGUGGGCAUUCAACCUGACCCCACUAAAUGAAUUACCCCUUGCAAAUGAUACUCCCCAAGCCUACAUAGUUUGCGCAUUUACUUGUGUAGAUGUUAUCUGGGUUAUCACGGCGAUUUCUCCUGUGAAAGCCACUCGGGUGCCCAAUACUCUUAGACAAGUAUUCAGUGGCCACGAACUUGGAAUAACCCUUUGGGGUGAGAGUGCUAUUCGAUUUAAUGGAGAGAGUGUGCAUUUCAUGGGUCAAACAGACCCGGCUAUCGUUAUCUUUGUCGGCACCACCGUUUGUAUGUAUGAAGGGUCCAAGGAAUUAUCUGGUGGAUGUGCUUGCAAAUGA